rnacentral:rRNA from 1 species
ACUCCUACGGGAGGCAGCAGUGGGGAAUAUUGCACAAUGGGGGAAACCCUGAUGCAGCCAUGCCGCGUGUGUGAAGAAGGCCUUCGGGUUGUAAAGCACUUUCAGUAGGGAGGAAGGUAGUGUAGUUAACACCUGCAUUAUUUGACGUUACCUACAGAAGAAGCACCGGCUAACUCCGUGCCAGCAGCCGCGGUAAUACGGAGGUGCGAGCGUUAAUCGGAAUUACUGGGCGUAAAGCGCAUGCAGGCGGCCUGUUAAGUCAGAUGUGAAAGCCCGGGGCUUAACCUCGGAAUUGCAUUUGAAACUGGCAGGCUAGAGUCUUGUAGAGGGGUUAGAAUUUCAGGUGUAGCGGUGAAAUGCGUAGAGAUCUGAAGGAAUACCAGUGGCGAAGCGGCCCCUGGACAAAGACUGACGCUCAGACUGCGAAAGCGUGGGAGCAAACAGGAUUAGAUACCCCUGGUAGACUGUCA